AAUGUAGCGUAAGUAAGGAUGCUAUAGUCGUAGCAAUGGCAUAUACAAUAAGCGGCAGGAGCAUAUCAAUAGUCGGAGGAUGGCAUAACAAUUCGCGGCGGAGCAUAUCAAUAAGCGGAGGAUGGAAGUAAAAUUCGUAGCGGGGCAUAUCAAUAAGCGGAGGAGGGAAUCAAAAUUCGGAGCAUGGCAUCUUAAUUAGCGGAGGAGGGAAGUUUGACACGUAUUAGGGUGUCCCACCGCAUAGAAGCGCGAAAUAAUCCACCUUUCAGCAACGGAUCUCUUGGCUCUCGCAUCGAUGAAGAACGCAUCGAAAUGCGAUAAGUAAUGUGAAUUGCCGAAUUCAGUGAAUCAUCGAAUCUUUGAACGCACCUUGCGCUCCUUGGUAUUCCGAGGAGCAUGCCUGUUUGAGUGUCAUGAAAUUAUCAACUGCCUUGAUGGGAUUUUGCUCCCAUUAGGGUGAAGUUGGAUUUGGAGGAAGAUUUUGCUGGCGGCUCUCUGAUGGGCUUUGUCGGCACCUCUAGAAUGCAUGAGCCUUCCUGUGCACGAGCGGAAGCGACUCUCUGAUGUGAUAACCAUCUACGUCGGACGGGUCGCGUUCGGAUUGAGCAUGAAUGGAUUGCAAGACACGGCUCGCAUCUUUCAAGAUGCGUCCUUGACAAAUUCGACCUCAAAUCAGGUAGGACUACCCGCUGAACUUAAGCAUAUCAAUAAGCGGAAGAACC
rnacentral:rRNA from 1 species